GCCGGGUGUGGUGGCUCACACCUGUAAUCCCAACACUUUGGGAGGCUGAGGCAGGCGGAUCACCUGAGGUCAGGAAUUCAAGAGCAGCCUGGCCAACAUGGUGAAACCUUGCCUCUA
rnacentral:SRP_RNA from 1 species